UACCAGCACCCCGAGUGGUCGGGACGAUUAUUGGGCCUAAAGCAUCCGUAGCCGGCCUUACAAGUCCUCCGUUAAAUCCAGCUGCUUAACAGAUGGGCUGCGGAGGAUACUAUAAGACUAGGAGGCAGGAGAGGCAAGCGGUACUCAGUGGGUAGGGGUAAGAUCCGUUGAUCCAUUGAAGACCACCAGUGGCGAAGGCGGCUUGCCAGAAUGCGCUCGACGGUGAGGGAUGAAAGCUGGGGGAGCAAACCGG
rnacentral:rRNA from 1 species